AGCGGGAUGGAGCAGUUAGGUAGCUGUCGGGCUCAUAACCCGAAGGUCAUGAGGUUCAAAUCCUAUUCCGCAA
rnacentral:tRNA from 1 species